rnacentral:rRNA from 1 species
UUGGGAAUUUUGCACAAUGGAGGCAACUCUGAUGCAGCAACGCUGCGUGAAGGAUGAAGGUCUUCGGAUCGUAAACUUCUUUUGCACGGGAAUAAUCUUGAAGGUACCGUGCGAAUAAGCACCGGCUAACUACGUGCCAGCAGCCGCGGUAAUACGUAGGGUGCAAACGUUAUCCGGAUUUAUUGGGCGUAAAGAGCUCGUAGGUGGCCCUAAAAGUUGGAUAUGAAAUCUCCCGGCUCAACCGGGAAACUGUAUCCAAAACUUUAGAGCUAGAGGUAUGUAGGGGCAGAUGGAACUUACGGUGUAGCGGUAAAAUGCGUAGAUAUCGUAAGGAACGCCGAUGGUGAAGACGAUCUGCUGGACAUUACCUGACACUGAGGAGCGAAAGCGUGGGUAGCGAUCGGG